rnacentral:rRNA from 1 species
GAUGAACGCUGGCGGCAUGCCUAACACAUGCAAGUCGAACGGACUUAGAUGAAACCUAGUGAUUCUAAGUUAGUGGCGGACGGGUGAGUAACGCGUGGGUAACCUGCCUCACACUGGGGGAUAACAGUUAGAAAUGACUGCUAAUACCGCAUAAGUGCACAGGACCGCAUGGUCUAGUGUAAAAACUCCGGUGGUGUGAGAUGGACCCGCGUCUGAUUAGCUAGUUGGUGAGGUAACGGCUCACCAAGGCGACGAUCAGUAGCCGGCCUGAGAGGGUGAACGGCCACAGUUGGGACUGGGACACGGCCCAA